AUUGAACGCUGGCGGCAUGCCUUACACAUGCAAGUCGAACGGUAACAGGCCGCAAGGUGCUGACGAGUGGCGAACGGGUGAGUAAUGCAUCGGAACGUGCCCAGUCGUGGGGGAUAACUGCUCGAAAGAGCAGCUAAUACCGCAUACGACCUGAGGGUGAAAGCGGGGGACCGUAAGGCCUCGCGCGAUUGGAGCGGCCGAUGUCAGAUUAGCUAGUUGGUGGGGUAAAGGCCUACCAAGGCAACGAACUGUAGUUGGUAUGAGAGGACGAACAGCACAACUGGUACUGAGACAGGGCCCAGACUCCUACGGGAGGCAGCAGUUGGGAAUUUUGGGCAAUGGGCGCAAGCCUGAUCCAGCAAUGCCGCGUGCAGGAAGAAGGCCUUCGGGUUGUAAACUGCUUUUGUCAGGGAAGAAAUCCUCUGGGUUAAUACCUCGGGGGGAUGACGGUACCUGAAGAAUAAGCACCGGCUAUCUACGUGCCAGCCGCCGCCGUAAUAC
rnacentral:rRNA from 1 species